UGAGUUAUCAAGUGCACAAACGUGGUGUGC
rnacentral:piRNA from 1 species